rnacentral:rRNA from 1 species
AAUGGGCGAAAGCCUGAUCCAGCCAUGCCGCGUGAGUGAUGAAGGCCCUAGGGUUGUAAAGCUCUUUCACCGGUGAAGAUAAUGACGGUAACCGGAGAAGAAGCCCCGGCUAACUUCGUGCCAGCAGCCGCGGUAAUACGAAGGGGGCUAGCGUUGUUCGGAAUUACUGGGCGUAAAGCGCACGUAGGCGGACUAUUAAGUCAGGGGUGAAAUCCCGGGGCUCAACCCCGGAACUGCCUUUGAUACUGGUAGUCUCGAGUCCGGAAGAGGUGAGUGGAAUUCCGAGUGUAGAGGUGAAAUUCGUAGAUAUUCGGAGGAACACCAGUGGCGAAGGCGGCUCACUGGUCCGGUACUGACGCUGAGGUGCGAAAGCGUGGGGAGCAAA